UCAUCAAACAAUUUUGAGGUGCAAACACCAAUUGCUGCUAAUGCAACAAGACCAAACAAUAUAUAAAUGAUAAUAUAUGUCUCAGUUUAAACAAUUCCAUUCCUGCCACAAGUUAUUGCACUACUAUAAGACGGACAGAUAUUGCUGUGGAGAUAAACUGAACCUAGGGAUGGUUACCAACUUUCUAAGCUACAACUCCAGGGUUAAA
rnacentral:lncRNA from 1 species